GUAGGUGGCAAGCGUUGUCCGGAAUUAUUGGGCGUAAAGCGCGCGCAGGCGGUUCUUUAAGUCUGAUGUGAAAGCCCACGGGCUCAACCGUGGAGGGUCGUUGGAAACUGGAGAACUUGAGUACAGAAGAGGAAAGCGGAAUUCCACGUGUAGCGGUGAAAUGCGUAGAGAUGUGGAGGAACACCAGUGGCGAAGGCGGCUUUCUGGUCUGUAACUGACGCUGAGGCGCGAAAGCGUGGGGAGCAAACAGGAUUAGAUACCCUGGUAGUCCACGCCGUAAACGAUGAGUGCUAAGUGUUAGGGGGUUUCCGCCCCUUAGUGCUGCAGCUAACGCAUUAAGCACUCCGCCUGGGGAGUACGGCCGCAAAGGCUAA
rnacentral:rRNA from 1 species